UUUAUUUCAAUGGUUGUUAAGAAGGGUUUUAAAUUUACCCUUAAUUAACACGCCUUAAUUCAUGCAGUUGUGGUUCAUCAAUACAGCGGGAAAUCCUUAGAUAUGACAUACCCAUCGGAAUUCCAAUUUUGAGAAAAUUGCUCAUCUAUUUAGUGAUGAUCGCGAGGACACAGAACAAGUUGGGGUUGAUCACAUUGCAUGAUGAGUGGAGCUGGUUGGCCAUUGGAACGUAACUAUCAUCGUUGAGGAGUCCUGAUGCCAAUAAUAUCUUAAAAAUAUAUUGCUGAUCUGGAUUGGAGCUCUCAUAGACAGAUGGAUUGUGAUAUGUAGCAACAUCAUCAGGAGUGGUGUUCAAUGAUCUAAGAAUAUAAGCUAACUGCUCAAUAUCUUCUUCAUCUGGACUUGGACCAUCAUCCUCUGUGCAGGAUUCUGAAGGCAAAAAGUUAAACCUGUAAGCUAGUGAGGUUGAACAAUGAGACACAGACCAAGAGAAGGCUAUUGUUGCUUUCUGACUUUACUGAAGCCGUAUCAACUUGGUACAAAUUGGUUGAUUUUGGUUUGAGUUUUCUAUUCGAGUAGCCUAAUCCUUCAAAUUGCGUACUGCACGGGUUUCUGACCCUGCCUGAAUCUGAAGAUGGAGUGGUGGGAUGAUAUUGUCUAUCAGUUGCGUGCUUCUUCUGUUGUGAUCGUGGGCUCAACAUUCCCGAACUCCUUCCAGAAGUACUGAUAUUUUCGACCUUAAUGUGAGGAGCUGAUUUUGAGAGUCUCGCUGUCGGAGUGUUUGCAAAUGUGAUAUUUCCAUAGUGGAGACCGAAGAGGAUCUUGAAAUCCUGACUUUGUCACUCGCUCUAGCUGGUUUCAUGUUAGCCGUUGAAGAUUCUGAUCUCUUUGUUGGAAUUGUCCCUUUGCUGGUUGGGAAUUGGCGAACAUUCUGUUGAUCCUUCCACAUUGACAAUCUAGAAUCUUGAUUGGAGCUUCUAAUUACCAAAUUAGAUAUGCUGGUUUGAGAUGCAAAUUCACGCACUUCUUUUUGGUUCUCCAAUCUAUU